rnacentral:lncRNA from 1 species
CACAAUUCACCUCUCAGGUUGAAUUUUUUUAUAAAUAAUCCUAUCAAUUUUUAUAAUUGUAAAAAUAGUUUUUUUAAAAAAAAUAAUUAUAAAAAUAGACCUCUAAAAUGCGGUGAAUGAUUCACCGCAUUCAUAACUCCUUUAUAGGAGUAGAAAAAGAAUAAAAGGUUCACCGUUUUUACCAUCGUAGAAAUAUAGAAAGAAGUAAAAAAAGAAAGAAAGCGGUGAAACCAUUCACCGUUUUUAUAGUACUAUAUUUAUAAAUAAAAAUUUAACAGAUAUAUUUUUAGAAUAAAAUUUUAGGAGAAAUGUAAUGUCCCGGAUGGGUUGAGGGUGAUUUGGGGGUGAGUUUGAAAAAGAGAAGGAGAGGUACGUAGAGAGACAGAGGGAGAUAAGGAGGAGUGAGAUCAUUAGGAGGAAGAGAGUAGGGUUUAAAAAAAAAUAGAGGAGAGUGGGAAGAGAUGAGAGGGGGAAGGAGAAGAUUAGAGAAAUAGUGGAGAAGAAGAGGAUAAUUGGGGGAAGAAAAGCUAAUUC